GCAAGAGUUAGAUAUUGUUUCAGGCACUUAUACAAGAACUUCAAGAAAUACUACAAGGCACCAACCUUGCACAGCUCAUUGUGGAAUGCAUGCAAAGCAUACAAAGUAAAGCAUUUUCAGGAGCACUUUGACAGUAUAUGCAAAGAAAAUGCUGAUGCUGGUG